rnacentral:rRNA from 1 species
CCUACGGGAGGCAGCAGUAGGGAAUUUUCCACAAUGGGCGAAAGCCUGAUGGAGCAAUACCGCGUGCAGGAUGAAGGCCUUCGGGUCGUAAACUGCUUUUAUGUGCGAAGAAUUUGACGGUAACACAUGAAUAAGGAUCGGCUAACUACGUGCCAGCAGCCGCGGUCAUACGUAGGAUCCAAGCGUUAUCCGGAAUUACUGGGCGUAAAGAGUUGCGUAGGUGGCAUUAUAAGUGGAGCGUGAAAGCGUGCGGCUCAACCGCAUUAUUGCGUUCCAAACUGUGAAGCUUGAGUAUGGGAGAGGUAGAUGGAAUUUCUAGUGUAGGAGUGAAAUCCGUAGAUAUUAGAAGGAACACCGAUGGCGUAGGCAGUCUACUGGCCCAUUACUGACACUAAGGCACGAAAGCGUGGGGAGCAAACGGGAUUAGAUACCCCGGUAGUCCACGCUGUAAACUAUGAUNNANUGUGACACACAUACACUGUGUCGU